GUCUAUGGCCAUACUACACCCAAUCUUGCCUGAUCUUGAAAGCUAAACAGGGUCAGGCUUGGUUAGUACUUGGAUAAGAGACUGCCUGGGAAUACAGAGUACUGUGGGCU
ensembl:rRNA 5S_rRNA 5S ribosomal RNA